CCCGCUCCGAUCGGGCCCGCUGUGGGACUGGGGUCCUGCCGGGGCCCGUUCCUGCUCCGCCCGCUCAUCUCAUAUCUACUAGCUGAGACCUGAUGCUCUCCUUCCUCUCCCCCGCUUUUUCUGCAGCAUGCACUCCCCAAUGGACAAACUUCUAGCUUUGAAAAGCCACUGAAAAGUGUUUAUUCUUUAUUUCCAGAGCAGAGGGGAUUGGCAGUUACAAGGAGCCAAGAGGAUCAUCAAGUCAAAUGGUGAGAGGUGACUGCUCCAGCUGGGCACUGAACACAGAAUCUUGGCCUUCUCAGCACUCUGCUCCAAGCACCUGAGCCAAUUUCAGGCUCAUGAAGAAGGUCCUGCCUGCGAUGGGAAUGGUUGCUGCCAGCAAGGCAAUUCCUAUACAAACACAGCUCCUUCUCUUCUGGUAAUGCUGCUUUACACACCAGCCCCUGCAAUGGCUGUGGGGCAGAACUGGCUGGCAUCUCACACAACAGCACCAAACUUCCCAUAACCCUGCUUUUCCUGCCCUUUCCAGGAUUUACCCCACAGCUGUAAAUUUACUCAUGCAAUGUCCCUCUGCAGGGAGAAAUGAGCAAGACAGGUCCUGAGGAUUCCCUCGCUCCACAGCUAAAGCUCUUCUGGAAAGUGGCAGGGAGCAUUUCCUGCAGGCAUGCGGAGGUGCUUCAGCCCGGACAGGGGCCAUGGACAGCCCAGGAGCACCCCAAGGAGCAGCUGGCACUGCCUGGGCACGGCGGCUCAGGCCAUCCGCAGAGGGGCUCAGACGGCGAUUCCUGGUUCCGAUCUCCCAGAGCUCCCACACAGCUUCCAGAAAUUAAAUCCUGAGUAACAGCCCUGGGAGAUGCCUUAAAAUCAAAGGUUUGAGUGGGAUGGAGUUUUGUUUGGAUUACAUUUGGAGUCUUUCAGGGAGCCAGCUGGAAGCGCAGAAGCAAUGGAAAGCUUUCACAGGUGGGUUCCACUGGGGGUGUGCUGAAGGCAGGGAUGUGCAUCCCUUUCCUGAGGGAAAAGAACUUGCAGAGGCCACUGCUGAGGCUCUGGAAGGAGCCCCGUGGGCACAGGGGCUGCCUCAGCACAGGCCAGGUGUACAUCCGGCCACCGCCUUCUCCUGCUUUAAAAUAUCAAUGGGAGCCUGAGCUCGGGGGGGGUGAGAUCAGCUGAAUUUCAGGCAACUCUGUCAAGUGCCCCCCCCCCCCAGGGACAUCAGUGGGGCUGGGGGAUAAGGAUUUUAAAAAGCAAAACCUUAGAACUAUAAACUUGUCCUCAUGCUGCUGAGCUUCCUUGGAGGCUCUGCUGGUUCCUGACACAGCUGGCAUUCAAGCGGCAGCUCUGCAUGGGAAUAUCCACGCUCCCUGAGGCACUGUAAGGCUAUUGCAGUGGGAAUUGAGCAGGGAAUUUAGGGCUAUAGGUGUAAUUCAUCUGAACUAGCAAAGGUGACAGUGAACGGCAGAUCUGGGCACUGCACAGAGAAUAAUCUUAGUGCUGCCCUGUCAGCUCAAGCCCCUGAGCUGGGAAGUUUCAGCAGGCCAAUGUAUGGAAUGCUCUCAGUCCCAGCAGCCAGCAUCCCACAAAGGGAUAAUCCAAGUGCCAGGAUUGUCUGAGUGCUCGUGUCCUUGGGCUGCUGCUGGCAGGACAAAUUCUCCUGUGCACACUUGGCACCAGCUGGGCGGGAGUCGAGAGCAGGAGAGGCAGGAGAGCGGAUUGGCUGCCCAGGAAGCAGCAGAAAAUGAGGCCGCUGGAAUCUCACUGAAUGAAUUGAAAGCAUUCUUUCCCUGGCAGAUCCCUCCUGGCCAGACUGCUGGGCCUGCCAAGAGCUCUGAUUUGGCUUUUCCUACCAGCUCCUGAGCAGUGUCAGGGCCACUAUUAGGGAGUUCAAAUCCAAAUAAACCCCACAGCCCCUAGAGUGAAUAAUCCAAACAGAGAAGGGCAUUGUUGUCAUAAAAAGCUGUUAAAAAAUGCUAUGACAACACUGUAAUGCGAUUCCCAGCAACCUUCUUAAUGCUCUUGGGACCAUUUUGAUGUCUUUUUCCUUCCUCAAUGGGCAGUUUGUAGAAUUGAUCCUGGGAUUUAGAGGUUGAACAGGGUUGGCUUUGGAUUGACCUUCACCUCUGGUCCCACUUUUUGCAAACACAACUUGCACCAAGGUAGGUGAACUCAUCACACCUCAGCUUUUCCCUCCAAAAUAUUCCCUACUUAUUUCCCUCUAGAUGAACUCAGAUUUUGCCCCAUACCAUCUACUCCUCACCUUCAUUUGCCCUCCAAGUGUCCAUUCUGUUCCCCACAGGUGCCCUGGUGACACCAGGGAGGUCCCCUUGCCUUUCUCCUGCCCCUCUCCAGCCUGAGGCUGCUCUUCUGCUUGCUCUCUCCAGCCUUGUCUGACAUGGCAGGGCAUGAAAGGGGAAAGGUUUCAGAAAACAUUUCUGCAAUUAAUAAUUAUUUUCAGUUCCCCCAGUGAGAAGACAAACUCCCAGCCAUUCUGGCCUGACAGUCCCCUGCAGCAAGAGCUCAGCAGACACCCACAGAGACUGCCUCUGCAGUGAGGUUUUCUCCACGAGAAACCAAGGAAUUGCUCAUGGCAGGGUGGAGAUUAAGUUACCCCAAAGGGAAGUAAAGGAUAAAUACUCCUCUAAGAGCCCUCAAGAGCUUCUGGGCUGAAUUGGGAAGGAGACAUUCACUCCCUGCAGUUGACUUUUGCAAUCAAACUCUGAAGCUGACAAGCCCAAAGGCCCUGUCCUGCUGCCCAGGAACAAAAGGAUACCCCCCAGCAUGAGGCACAUUCCCAGCAAGCGCUCCCAACACAGCAGAGAGGCACCACUUGAGCUUGUGUGUGGGGCUAGAAAGGGCUGUGUCAUGGACCCACUUGUGAGUUGUUCAGUCCUUUGCCAUCAGACUUUGGACAGAGGAAGAGAAGGAGCUGUUCCAAACCUGUGUCAUCCAGCAGGGAACAUGCCCUGUACCAACCCCUGCCUGGGCCGAGCACGCUGCCUCACUUUACCCACUCUGGAUCUUGGCUCCCAUCCAGCCUGAGUUUUCCCUCAUUUUCCGUGGAUCACCCCACCUCUGCUUCUUUAGGUGUCUCCAAGUGGGAGAUAAAAUACAUGUGGACAGAAGUUUGGAAUGCAGCUUCCAAGGCAACUGCUAGGAAAUGACUCCAACCUGGAUACUGGUACCUGGGGCUGUUUUAAACACAGCCUGGCCAUUCAUGUCUGCGGACACUGAGCUACACGACUUGUGAGCGGGCAAGUAACAGCAGCUGAGGUCUCAUCCCAGCUGUACACAAAAACAGGGAUUGGGGGCUGCAUUUGGAUACAUGCAGGCAAGUUUGGGCCACUUCAGAAAGCUUUAGUCCCUGUUUUUCAGAGAUUCAAUCAGGGAUAAUGGCCUUUUCACAAACCUCUCUUAAGGCACAUCAGAACCCAAGGAAGAAAGUGGAAUCAUACCCUUUAUUCCAUUGGCCUCAUGCCCCAGAUUCCAGUGGCACAGACAAGUCCUUCUCCUUGGAAGGCAGAGUCUCCUACCUGGACCUGUGCCUCUCCCAGCCUUUGGUGGAUGCUGUCUCCAUCGUUCCGCACCUCCGCAUCUUCCUCCUCAGCACGGUCGGCUUCCUCAUCCUGCAGAGCAAACACAGGGACAGUCACCAGCCUGCUCAUCCCAAACCUGGGCAGCAGAGACCCACUGGUGGCCCCCUCUGGGUGGUCACCCCUCUGCUGGGCACCAUCCCUGCUCUGUGGUCCAUUCCCAUCCCUGGCUUGGCAUCUCCUUUUAACGGGAUGUCAAACCACAAACAUUUGCGCUCCUGGGUUUUGGAACACCAGAGAUUUCCCCCAAGGCAGCGGGCAAAGCUCCUGUUCCCACAUCCUCUGCUUCCCAAAGCCCUGCUGGGGCUGGGCAGAGCAAAGGAAAAGUCUCCGUUCUGGCUGGAAAUUUUCUCUUGUGCCCAUAAACUCAGGGAAAUUGUGAGUGCCCCAACCCUGGAAAUGUCCAAGAACAGUCUGGACAGGGCUUGGAGCAACCUGAGCUAGAGGACAGAAUGGCAAGGGAUGGAAUCAGGUGAUCCUUAAGGUCCCUUCCCACCCAAACCUUUCUGCAAUUCUAGUACCAUUCCAAAAUCUCUCCCUGCAUUUCUUUUGCAUCAUUUUCACCCAAAUUUGAAUUCCCAAAUUUAAAUGUUUUGUUUAAAGAACCAUUUAAAAUUAUUCCAGGAAUAAAAAGGGGACUGUGGAACAUACAAGAAUCACUCCUGCGUGCAUCAAAUCAUUCUUAACUGGAUGCCUAUUCCCUCAUCUCUGUUUUUGUAUUGUUUUCCUGGAUAACCUUAUGAUCCCACAGAGUCUCCAAGAGAUUUAGUGGGAUUGCAGAAAGGUUGGCUCUGUCGGCGAGCUAGGAGGGUUACAACACUUGUUCCUUUAUCUUUACCCCUUAAUCAGCUUUCCCUUAGAACGGUGUUGUGGGGGAAGUCCAGAAUUACUAGAAAUUGAUCAGGUUCACCUUUUUUCCACCCUCUAUUCCAACGACUUCCAAAUUCUUGGAAUUACCCUCAAAACAAUGCCUAGAAAACAUCAAUCAGAGGAACAUCUUGAAAAGAGAAACCCACAUCCAGAGGCAGCCAAAACCAUCCCAUUGCUCCUCUUACCUGGUCUGCAGGUCCUCCUGCCAGAGCUCCCAGCAGCCAUUCCUAUUCCUCGAGGGUGAGGAGGCAGUUUUGGACGUGUUCUUUGCCAUGGGAUGGGACAACAGAGUCCAGAGAUUCUUUGUGGUCCCUUCCAGGCCAAACCACCCCAUGAUUCCAUGAUAUAAUCAACAUCUAUCCCAAUUCAGUUCCAUAAACCCCAAUUCCAUUCCUUCCAUUAACCCAGUAUUUCCCCUCUCUUCUUUUUGCUCUACAUCAGGUAGGUGUUGCCAAGUGCCACAGGCAUGGGAUGCCUCAGCAUUCCCUGGGGAUGGUGUCCAAUGCUGACCUUGUGGCCUCAGCACUCCAAAAUGCCCAAUUGGCCCCAGUCCCAGCUGGGAAUGUCUCAAACAACAGUGAGGGGUGUUUGGUCCCUCUCCCAUCCCACCAUUAGGACAGCUCACAUAGAAUGCUACUGACUUACUAGGUUUGGAAUUCCUGCCUUGAAUAGCGGGUGGUGGAAUAUCCAGAACACUAGGAGACUCCCUGGAAGCCACAGGUCAGGGGCAGAGUCAGAUGAACAAUCCUGAACCGGUUUUCAGAGGACUCAUCCACAGCCUGUGGCUGCAACAACUCCAAAGCCCUUUCUUCACCCUUAGGACAGACAGGGAAAACAUCCCCAUAACAGAUUUCUGACAGGAAAAAGCACACUGACCACUCCAGGCUACUUCGCUCCUCCGAAAUCCAGGCCAGCAUUCCAACAGGCUUUAAGGACACAACAGUAAAGACCAUCUCAGUGCACACACCAUAAGCUGGGCAUCACAUUCCUCACUGGAACUGGGCUGUUCCCACAUCUCUGUGACAGUCAGCAGCAACCCCAUUUCCUCACUCUUCCAUUCAGGAGAAAGAGAGGCCAGAGCCCUUCAACACCCAGAGUGCAAUCCCAACAAUCCAUGGAAAACCACCUCACUCUGGGGAGAAAGGUAAUGCCUAGUUCAGGAAAAAAAACAGAGAGCAGUACUGGAACCCUUUCCAGGCACGGAGUCUCCCAGCUCCAGAAAUGCAGCUCCCCACUCCCAGGCUUCUUCCCAUGGAACCCCAAAACUUGCCUGAGACUGGGUUCAGGGAGAAAAUGCCACCUGUUCCACCACUCUGGCAUGGAACAUAUUCCACAAAAGUGUCUCUGACCGUAGCAGGGGUUUGAACAGGAUGAUCUGCAAGGUCCUUUCCAACACAGAUCAUUCCAGGAGUUUAAAGCGGAUUUGAGCCACUUCUCAGCUCACAGCUCCUUCCCAAGCCUCAUCCUCUGGGCUGCCUUUCCCAUCCCUCGCUGGGAAGGGAAGCAGCGGCUCCUCUCCCUAAAAACACCCACUGCCAGCUGCUGUGCCCUGCCCAAAAGCCACUGGCUGACACAAGCGGUCGAUGCACUCUCUUGUCCGUUCUCCAUCCUGCAGCACUUCAGUGACUCCAGAGUCAGGCCAUCAGGAUCAGUGCCAGGUUCCAGGUAGUGACACAAAGCAGUUGCUGUGCUAGAAGGGGAGAUUUUGGUGGCUUCUCUCCCCUUAGCUGGGAAUUCAGUGCUGCCAAGAGCCCAGCAGUGAUGGUGCCUUUAAGCCUUCCUAUGGAUGAAUCCCCAACACUCAGUACCAAGUGCUGCUGGAGCAGCAGCUCCAGGGAAAAAAGCGGUGCCCAGUCUAGAGGUGUCCCUGCCCAAGUUCCCAGGGUGGAUGGGAAGCUGCAACUGACAGGCUGGAUCUCAGGAGAACUUCAAUCAUUUGCUGAAAGCUUCUAAAACAGGGAUUUGUUUCCAAGUCUAAGGCAGCUCAAAUCCUAUAACUCACUAGGCUUCCUAAUAAAGCAAUGCAAAAAAAUUUGUCUCUAUGUAGGAAUCUUCCUUUAAGCCAAUUCAGAGGAGAGCCACCUGAGAUUUCAGUUAAAAUUUAAGCCAGACUAUGACAUAUCAAACAAAAAAAGA